UUUUUUUGGAUUUUUCAUUUACAACUCUUUUUCGAUUUUCAAAUAUGAAACAAGAAAUACGAUAAUGGGAAACUUGACAAACUCAACUAUACUACGACAAACUCUGACACCUAUAACAGAAUCAGUACUACUGAACAUGACUAUAAAUUACAAGACAACAUAAAAACAGACUCAAAACAUUAAAAUCUCCUUUAGCCAGCUCCUGAAUGUAGUGAUCCUGACUGGAUGGUCCUGGGGUGUCUGUCAUGUUCAAACUCCGGUAAGUAGACCCACACCUGUAUGAAAAAAUUAAGACCAAAUAAAGUUAAAGACAUAGAACACUUUGUGAGACAAUAACCCUCCCUAUUGGACGCAUGCAAGACAUGAUUGAGGCUAUUUUUGCAAAAUGACUUAUGUAGCCAAAAGGUGGGUGAAGGUGCAAAAUUUGGCUAAGACCCUGCAAAGCCAAGAACCUAAGACUUACUAGGAAGACCGGACCCUAUGUGGGUUGCCUACGUAUCACGACCCAAAAGACGAGAAUCAGGUAUGCGUAGUUCGGGAAGAUUGCAUAUGAGCGAGAAUUAAUAAACAACUAAUUUAGAGAAAAUAUAUUUUUGUCUUUUUUUUUUGUUUUAAAAAUGAUGAAACACGUAAACUCUUUUUGAAUUUUCUUUUUACUCUUUUUCUGAUUUGAUUUUUUUUUUUGGAAAAUGAUGGGAAAUGCAAAAUCUUUUUGGAUUUUUCAUUUUUUUUGUCUUUUUCUUAAAAAAAUGUGAAAGAAAAAUAUAAUUGGGCCCUACUUGCUUUAUUUUUUACACUUCACCCUUUUUUCAUUUAUCCUCAACCCUCAUUGGUCCACCAAAUGAUCCCUUUUUCCCUUGAAGAUUGCAACAAGUAGAACAUAGAAUGCAUCAGGAUGUCUUUUAUUUUUGGGUACACUUUUCCUAGACGGACCCAACCCUUGUGUUGAGUCCCCUAAGUCAAAUGCACAUGAUGCAAACAAACGUUCCUGCUAGGGAUCUGGUAUGAAGUUAUGUUAUUCUAGGUUUCAAAACCUGGGUGUAUUUGUUCUAGACCUGGCUUACCCGAGCGGACAGCGCGAGCCGAGAGAGGCAGCGUACUAGGAAUACAGAAGCUUCACGGGCUUUGCAACGUGUCUGAACCUCAUUCUAAAAUUGGGAUAUGACUCUAACAGAAAGAAGUCACACGAAGUGCACACUUCCCAGAUGAUUUAGAAGACUCACAGAGAGGAGGCUUUCGUAACAGUUUAUAUACAAUUCAAACAACAUCAAAGCGGUAAAAAGCGACAUUUAGCACAUUAGGCUCAAACACAUAAAAAUCAGAUAAUAAAUAAAGCCAACUAUAACAGACAUUCUAAGCUCGAAUUCUGAACCCUGAACCAGAAGUUCUGAGUUCUUUUCCCCAGCAAAGUCGCCAGAGCUGUCACACCUCCUUUUUCUACCCGAAAAGGGGUAUAAGGGGAGUUUUUUCUAAUUUAAGGGACAAUCGAAACGGGAUUAUUUAUAUUAAAAUCAGAGUCGCCACUUGAGAUAAUUUACGGUGUCCCAAGUCACCGGUUUAAAAUCCCGAAUUGAGGAAAGUUUUGACUCUUAUUUAUGGUCCGCGAACACAGAAAUCCGGGUAAGGAAUUCUGUUAACUCGGGAGAAGGUAGGCAUUUCCGAGUUUCGUGGUUUUAGCACGGUCGCUCAACUAUUAUUAUUGGCCUAAUUAUCUAAUUAAUUACACAUUUUAAACCUAUGUGCAUUUUUAACUUUCUAACCUCUUUUAAUGUUUUUAGGAAAAUUCAUGAUUUGUUUUGAAAACACAUUGUAAACCACACUACAUGAAAUGCACCCGCGGUUCACAACAUAUUUAUCUUACUUAAUAUUAUUGGAAAUCGAAGUCGGGUUAUAUGAAAUGUACACCCGGAUUUAUAACAUGUUUAAUUUAUUAUUGUUAGAAGUUGUUAUGGUCGGUUUACAUGAAAUACAUACCCGAAUUUGGAUUUAUAUAUUGUGACCAUGCCACGGGAACCGUACCCAUAGUCACGAUGAUUACUUAUUUAAACCAUGCUCAAAUUCUUUUAAUUUAUUUAAACCCAAAUUCCAUGAGCCAUUUCGAGCAAUGUAUCCAAACUAUCCACACAAAUAAGGCGAGGGAAACAUCAGACAAAGUAACUAUUUAAAAGACACAUAAUAUUUAGUAGCAAAUGAACGAUCAGACAUAGAGCACCAAGAAUUACUUAUAGGAGGGCAAUGGAACGAUAAACAAAAAUAAAUUAAAACACUGAUAAGUACCAUAGCCCUUUAUUAAUCCCAAUACAUGUAUAUUACCUCUCGAUUUGCUAAACAUAGAAAAUUCCCAAAUGACAUCUAAUCAGUAAUCCUACCGAGACUUUAACUCAUGGAUUUCAUAUUUGAAGCCUAGCAAGGAAAACCAAUAAACAUAUUGCUUUGCCUUGGUGAAAUUACUCAAAUGUUCAUGCAUAGAUUCAGCAUAAGCCUGUAAACUAUAAUCUAUGGAAAUUAAUAAACUCCAACCAUCAUUAAUAUUUGGAUUAACACCCACAAGCAUCAAGGAUAAUAGGGAAGAAAUUGAACCUGAAAGAGCUCCCUUUAAUAUUAGAUAAGAUGAUUAGGAAAACUACAAGCGAAUUCGAUUGUGCUAAUUUCAGCAGCGAGCCAAUUCAAAAUAUCAAACUGAACCAUUACCCCAACUGGAACCAAGAACGGCAACAGAAACUCGACCACGGGGUGGAACCUCGAGUUGGUGUUUCAAUAGAUUCUAAGGAUGUUUCAUUGCGUUUCAAAGCUGGAGUUCUUGGCCGAUUUUCACAACUUUUCAGGGCUAGUUUCAAUGUUACUUUGAGCUGUCUUGUGGUUUAAUAUUGAGACUUGAGUUUUAAUGGAAAUCUAAAGAGAAAAUUUCUCUUGAAGAAUAAGAAGGUGCAACUGAUUUUCGUUUGAUGAAAGGCCGUCAGUGAGCCUCUAUUUCUCAUCCGUCCUCUUCCCUGAUCGUCACUCUCUCUGAACGUUCUCUAUCUACAUAUGUGUAGAGGGGUGAGUCAUUUGGUGUUCUUGGGGUGUGGAGAAGAUGAAGGAGGUCGACUGUGUCUUUAGGCGCUGGAGGAGACGAAGUUCGGGGGACGGUUUUUGGGUGGAAAACGGAAAGUUGAGGGUGGUUGUUUGUGAGAUGGUAGCUUUGUUUUUUGUUCAGCCAAAAUCCAUGGAAAUGGCUGCUUUGUUUUCAGAAGAAGACAGAUCAGUGGGGAGGGGGAGGGGGGUCCUCUGUUGAAAAACGGCGGAAAAGUUGUGUGUCCAGGUCUAAGGUCUUU
rnacentral:lncRNA from 1 species